CGAUUUCUCUCUGAAGAGAAUAUUUCUCUUGUUCAAAUUUCUCAGUCUUCUCCGUUAAUUCACGACGCAUUUGAUCCAACUGAUUUUGAAUUUCAUUUUGAGACUCCAGUAAGUGUAAGCCAUAUUGUGCAGCCUUUCUUCGCUCAUUCUCUGCUUCUUUCAGUUGCUGUCUAAGAUUUAAAAUGGUCUCUGUCUCCAUUUUUUCUUCCUUUUAUUACCUUCAGAAGUCCAUUUAAGCUUCAC
rnacentral:lncRNA from 1 species